rnacentral:tRNA from 1 species
GCACCCGUAGCUCAGCUGGAUAGAGCACCGGUUUCCGGAACCGAAGGUCACAGGUUCGAGUCCUGUCGGGUGUA